rnacentral:lncRNA from 1 species
CCAAAUUCACAAAAUUUUGUCGGUUAAAUUUUUUUGUUGUCCGACAAUAAAUGAAACCAAAAACUUAUGCAUUGCAAUUUUCAAAAACAAAACUUACAAAUGGGUUUACCCCAAACAAUAACAAAAACUUACAUAUUGCAACUUUAAAGAAAAAACUAAACACUCAACUACAAGAGCUCUAAAAACCCAACAAGAAGAUCAUAUUCAGAUCUUAAGAAGCUUACCCACGAUUUCUUUGAGAUGUCGGUUUAUAUCAAUCCAUUUCAAGUCCUGUAAACACACAUAAACACAAAGUUAGACAUACACAUAGAUACAGGACGAUGGUCAGCGUUUUAGAAGGAGGCAGAGAGGAAACUAAUAUGUGGAAGCUAUGAGGUAGCUUUUUGAUAGAGAGACAGAAAGGGGCAGUGCAAAGAACGAUAACAAAGGUGGUGGUUUUAGCAAACAAAGAUAGCCACGGAAGGAGAAAAAAGGUAGUGUAUCGCAACAACAAUGAUCUAGGAUUUUUUAGAAACAACUAAUUGACUCUUGGUGAUUUGCAAGAUAAACAUAGACUCAUACAAACACACACAACCAAAUUGAGAAACGAUAAGGAAAGAAAGUAAUACCUUGAACUAAACAAAUUAACAAGCUCUCUGGUUGCUUAUUUCUUUAAGAGCAUCAAACUAACUAUGAAAUUUUCAAAUAUAAUAAGAACCUCUAUUAUCAAUUGCAAAGAUACAGUCAUAAAGAGAGUAACAACUAUAUCUGACAUUUGUGUUAAUUUUCUAGAUCUGAUGCAAUUUCAUCUACUGGAAGGACUUAAAUGAGAGAACUUGAAACCAACAUUUCAUGAUCAGCUACAAUGAGAACAAAAUCUACAAAACUAACAUCUCACCUGCAAAUCCCACACCAAUAUCCGAUAUUCAAAUGAUGGAGUAAAAACCCCAAACCCAAUCCCCAAGAAAAAACAAACAACAUAUGACCUUCAAACACAGAUUCAGAUUAACCUAUCUGCAAUUUUUUGGGUUUAAUUAAGAAUCAGUUCUAAAUGAAAACUAAAAUCGGAAACUAUUAAAGAAAACCUACAUGGCUUCGAAUGAUCUGUCGAAUCUUUGAGGAGUCCACAUCGGUUUCAAGGUUGAAGCGGCGAUGCAUAUAUCCUUAGGUUUCCAACGAGUGAUGGAGAUCUGAAUGAGGUGAUGGUAGUAAUGAAGUAGUGAAGACGAAGGUGUUGAUAUGUGUAGGGUUUUAGAGAUAGGUCUUAAUAAGGUGUAGAAGUGGUAGAGGUGCGUUGGGAUGGGUAACAGUAGAUAUUGGUGAACAGCGAAACGUAGGUGAAGGAGGGUAGAGGCGAAAAAUUAUUGGGUGGUGAUGAUAGACGGAAAGAGGCAGAGUGCAUACGUUGGUGGUCAGACUGUUCGUGGUUAACGUUAAUUUGAGAGAAGUAGGUAGGUGGCAGAGAAGGCGAAACAUGCGUGACUGUGGGUGGUUUAAGGCGAAAGGAGGCAAAGUGACGUCUAAGGUUUCAGUGGUGGUGGAGAUUAUGGAGGUGACAGAGUUGUGCGGUUGUGUUGCUGGUGAAUUCCAACAGCUAGGGUUUUUCCAUUGAAUGG